UACGUAGGGUGCGAGCGUUGUCCGGAAUCACUGGGCGUAAAGCGCACGUAGGCGGACUCGCAGGUCAAUUGUGAAAUACCCGGGCUCAACCCGGGAACUGCAGUUGAAACCGCUUGUCUUGAAUACCUGAGAGGGUGGGGGAAUACCUGGUGGAGAAGUGAAAUUCGUAGAGAUCAGGUGGAACACCGGAGGCGAAGGCGCCUGCCUGGCAGUGUAUUGACGCUGAGGUGCGAAAGUGCGGGGAGCAAACAGG
rnacentral:rRNA from 1 species